UACGAGGGGGGCAAGCGUUGUUCGGAAUUACUGGGCGUAAAGGGCUCGUAGGUGGCCAACUAAGUCAGACGUGAAAUCCCUCGGCUUAACCGGGGAACUGCGUCUGAUACUGGAUGGCUUGAGGUUGGGAGAGGGAUGCGGAAUUCCAGGUGUAGCGGUGAAAUGCGUAGAUAUCUGGAGGAACACCGGUGGCGAAGGCGGCAUCCUGGACCAAUUCUGACACUGAGGAGCGAAAGCCAGGGGAGCAAACGGG
rnacentral:rRNA from 1 species